rnacentral:rRNA from 1 species
UACGAAGGGGGCUAGCGUUGCUCGGAAUCAUUGGGCGUAAAGGGCGCGUAGGCGGCGGGGUAAGUCGGGUGUGAAAUCUCAGGGCUCAACCCUGAAACUGCACUUGAUACUGCUCUGCUUGAGGACUGGAGAGGAGACUGGAAUUCCCGGUGUAGCGGUGAAAUGUGUAGAGAUCGGGAGGAACACCGGGUGGCGAAGGCGGGUCUCUGGGCAUUUCCUGACGCUGGAGGCGACGGAAAGCGUGGGGAGCAAACGGG